rnacentral:lncRNA from 1 species
CCUGAGAAAACUUCGAAUUGUUUGCCCGAACCUAGUUGGUGCAAAGCAGAAAACCUGAAGAGUAAAGAAAAAUGAUUUUGUGCAUCUUUUUACUCCUAAAAAGGAUAAAAUGGUCAUGUCUUUUGCUGGAGACUGUAGGAAGGAGAUUCUGUCUGCUUCCAAUUUUAAUGAACAACUUUUUAAAAACUUUAUUUCUGAAAGGUUACUCAGAAAGGGCUUUUAAAACUAAAUGAAAACAUGUCUGUGCUUCCAAAGAGAAGUAAGGGAAUACCUACUUCAAAGAAAAAGGAAGGAGCUGAGGGUGGAGCGAAUCCAUCAUGGCCCUGGCUUCAAUGCCCAAUACCAAAAAUAAACAGAACCAAGGAAAAGCAAAACCCCAUGGAAAGGAUGCUAAACCCUUGGCUGCAUCAGCAUUUUCAAACUCCAGUACAAAACUCUACACCUGGAGCACUCCUAGCAACCACCAGCUUCUACCUGAGGAGAGUAUUCUUUGAUCUGCAGUGCUGGCAUGUACUCUGGUUUGCUUAGUGAAUGUGUUUGGACACAUUCUUUUUUUUUUGCAAGACUCUUUAAAAUUGAGAAUCAGCCCAAAUUAAAGAGUUGCUACAUACUUAUUGACCUGUUCAUUUGUGUGGAGGCC